rnacentral:rRNA from 1 species
GACGAACGCUGGCGGCGUGCCUAAUACAUGCAAGUCGAACGAAGUGGCGAACGGGUGAGUAACGCGUAAUCAACCUGCCCUUCAGAGGGGGACACCAGUUGGAAACGACUGCUAAUACCCCAUACUGAAGGAGGGGAUGGCGUGUGAUUAGCUCGUUGGAGGGGUAACGGCCCACCAAGGCGAUGAUCAGUAGCCGGGCUGGGAGGAUGAACGGCCACAUUGGGACUGGGACACGGCCCAGACUCCUAAGGGAGGCAGCAGGUGGGAAUCUUCGGCAAUGGACGAAAGUCUGACGGAGCAACGCCGCGUGGGUGAUGAAGGCCUUCGGGUUGUAAAGCUCUGUUAAUCGGGACGCGGUACCGGAAUAGAAAGCCACGGCUAACUACGUGCCAGCCGCCGCGGUAAUUC